UUGAUACCCCCUCCGUCCGAAAAUACAUGUCAUCAAAAUUGAUAAAAGAAGAUGUAUCUAGACGUAUUUUAGUUCUAGAUACAUCUCUUUUUAUUCAUUUUGAUGACAAGUAUUUUCGGAAGGAGAGAGUACUUG
rfam:Triticum aestivum genome assembly, contig: Triticum_aestivum_CS42_TGACv1_scaffold_148883_2BS